GGAGUCGGCCAGGCAGUCGCUGUGUGCGUGAGCACAUGGAGGAAAGUCCGGGCUUCACAGGGCACGGUGCCAGGUAACGCCUGGGAGGCGCGAGCCUACGGAAAGUGCAACAGAAAGAUACCGCCUACGUACCGCGCGAGCGGUACCGGUAAGGGUGAAAUGGUGCGGUAAGAGCGCACCGCGCCGGUGGCAACAUCGGUGGCACGGCAAACCCCACCUGAAGCAAGACCAAAUAGGGAAGCAGCGGCGCUCGUGGCCGCAGUGUGCGGCCCGCACAUAGGCUUCCGGGUAGGUCGCUAGAGGUGCGCGGCGACGCGCAUCCCAGAGGAAUGACUGCCCACGACAGAACCCGGCUUAACGGCCGACUCCUUUC
rnacentral:RNase_P_RNA from 1 species